rnacentral:rRNA from 1 species
GACGAACGCUGGCGGCGUGCUUAACACAUGCAAGUCGAACGGAAAGGCCCCUUUGGGGGUACUCGAGUGGCGAACGGGUGAGUAACACGAGAGUAACCUGCCCUUGACUUCGGGAUAACUUCAGGAAACUGGGGCUAAUACCGGAUAGGAAUCCUUGCUGCAUGGUGGGGGUUGGAAAGCUUCGGCGGUUUUGGAUGGACUCGCGGCUUAUCAGCUUGUUGGUGGGGUAGUGGCUUACCAAGGCUUUGACGGGUAGCCGGCCUGAGAGGGCGACCGGCCACAUUGGGACUGAGAUACGGCCCAGACUCCUACGGGAGGCAGCAGUGGGGAAUAUUGCACAAUGGGCGGAAGCCUGAUGCAGCAACGCCGCGUGCGGGAUGACGGCCUUCGGGUUGUAAACCGCUUUCAGCAGGGGCGAAGCUUGUGGUGACGGUACCUGCAGAAGAAGCACCGGCUAACUACGUG